rnacentral:tRNA from 1 species
GCCCCCAUAGCUUAACCCACAAAGCAUGGCACUGAAGAUGCCAAGAUG